UUCUUCAGAACAGCAAUGUGUUGUACCUCUAAACAGUCCACCAGAGCUUCAGCUAUGGAUUAUCUUAUUAAACUUGACCUAGACAGAAUGGGGAGUUGGGCAGGGAAGAGCCUGAUGAAGUUCAACAAGAGCAAGCGUAGAGUGGUCCUGCACAUGGGGAAGAAUAUCUGCAUGCGUCAGUGCAGGUAUGAGAGUAGCAGGAGUAUGAGCCAAGAGGUCACUCCUCGGAGAACUUGCCCUAAAGCCAGCUGAAGAACAAAUAAGCGGAUGAAGGAGUAACUUUGCAUAACUGAUCUGUAGCUCACUUUGACAUGGCUUUUUUUUAAGGGUGCUUAUGGCAAUGUCACACAGUUGUCUGCAAAGAUAUUGAAGGAAUUAAGCACCUAUUUAACUCAUCUCACACCAAUUUCUCUUAAACAUAGAGGAGUAACUUUGGAGGAAAAAAAAAUGCUUCUUUGUCUUGUAUUACUUGAGAUUUUUCAUCUUCUCUCACAAAUGUGACAGGAAAUAAAAUAGGGCUCAGGAGAUACUUAAGUACUACAGAACAGUAAUACAUGUAUGCUUUAAUGCGUAUUACAUAUAUAAAUAAAAUACAUAAAUUUUUUGAUUUUUCACCUCAUUCCUAUGAGCAAAUUGAAUAUCACUGUUACUUUACAAGUUGCACAAGUUGUGCCUAACUUUUUAAUGAAGGAGGACUCAGGAAGCUUCAGAUUGAUCACUCCCAUCUUGACUUCUGAGGAGCUGAUGGAGUAACUAGUCCUGGAAACCAUUCACAGGCACAUGAAAUACAAGAAAGUCAUCUGAAGUAGUCAUCACAGAUUCACAAAAGGGAAGUCAUGCUUGACUAACAUAAUAAUUUUAUAAUGAAAUGAUUUCCUUGGUAAAUAACGGUGGAUAUUGUCUGUGUUGACUUUAGUAAGAAUUUUGACAAUGUCUCCUACUGUAUCCUCAUAGAAAAGCUGGAUUAAAAGGCAUUGAAGCCAUCUGAAAACUCUCUAGUUGCACAGUGAACCCUAAUGGUCAAUAGUAAGUCUAACACUGUACAGUAACUUUACGGAUGGUCUUAUAUUGUUCAUGGUCUUAUAUUUUUCAUUGAACUUGUAAGUAUCCAAUGAGCAAUGCAAGUGUUGUUCAUUACUUGCAUGUUUUAUUAUUUUUUUUAAUGUGUAUAAAAAAGAAAAACAACACAGAGGAAGAGAUAACUUUGGUGCCCAGUAUAUAUAAGUGGAUGAUGUCUUCUUGUUUUUCAAUUGGCCUGGUACCCAAGUUAUCUUCUCCUCCAUACCCAUUCUUACUCAAAGUUUAUAGAAGUCUGAAGUGCCAAUAUUUCAGUCACUCACACAGAUGAAACUGACUGUUCCUAUCUGGCAACAUCAUUCAGAAAUCCUAGCAAUGAACUCUGUUUUUUCAAGCACAAUUUUUUUUUAGCCUCUUCUGUUUGAGAACAUUCCCAACAAACAUUUACUCUGUGUGUAGAAUGUAACAUUUUGAAAGCAACAUUUCUUCUUAAUAUGAAGUAGUUUGUCUAAAGACUUCAUAGUCAAGUACAUAAAGAAAGCAAUAAAAGGUUUGUCAACGAAGCGAAUACUGAAGUAGAAAUUGAAAUAUUAUCCUUCUCCAAAAAUUGGUCGGUUGUCUUCCAUCAUUUUAUCUUUCAGAACCUGAUACUUUUUGAAAUCAGUUACAGCACUAUCAAGAUAGGCCCAAGGCUUAAGACUCUUUGAAAACACCAAAGGGAAUCAGAACAACUGUGGAGUACUAUAUGCUGGGGUGAGGGACUAGUGUCUGCACAAGGAAAAAUCACGUAUCUUAAGAGAAUACAAAAUAAUAUUCAUUAGGGAAUGAAUGUGUAAUAUAUAUCUCUGCUAGUAAUAGGAGAUUUCCACUUCCUCCAGGAUUGUUUGCGUUAUUGCUAUACUAAGAGAAUAUUCUGUGUAACAUCAGCAUGUUUGUUGCUGCAACAAGGUAUAUUGAAUUAAAGAGAAAAAAAAAUUGUCAAAGAUGCUUUGUGAAUGGUCUAAAGCAGGAUGAAGUAUAAUGUGAAGCUCUUCCAUGGC
rnacentral:lncRNA from 7 species